GGCAGUUUUUAGAACGUUUUCUCUGCAGUUAGUGACAGGGUAGACAAAUAGCAUAAAAUAGAAGUAAUUGGACCCUUUAGAGAUAUAAACUGCAAAUUAAUUCUUUCUCCAUACAAUGGGAGUACUGGUAAUUAUUUCCCAGGAUGGCACCACGGUUGUGUGAACUAAGAGACUUAGCAAACAGUACGGCUCUUGUGUGAUGAGGCGGACACACGGCUGCUGUUUUCUGUCCUCAUGUUUUACUGUGGUAAAGUCACCUUUGAGAACAACCUUGGCUCCAGAAUGAGGGUGACUUAGUGUGAACUGGAAGCCAUGAAAGAAACACUUUCUCUGUCACAGUCUCUCCUUUGUUAGAAAAAAACCCCAUUCCUACCCCAAAUCCCAAACCUCAAAGAUCUUCCUUAGGUCUCCACUUUAAUUCUUAAGAGUCCCAUGCUGUUCAGCUUGGGUCUCACAUUGACUCAGGGUUGCGCAACUCAGAAGUCCCUCAAUUCUUUAACAGCUGACUGAGGCCAAACCAGUAUGGGAGCUCCUUUGAAAAACCCAGCUAGGGCCAGGAAGGCCAGACAAGUGGACUUUCAUUGCAGGUCAAGUAUCGCAUGUUUCUUCUGACCAGGUAAUUAUCGGUUAUAGGACAAAGAGGAAGCCCGAUUUAUCAACAAAGUGAAAUUAAAAAUUAACAUGCUCCUGUUUGCUCAACUGUAAUCUUUGAAUCAGUCAAUAUCUACAGGCUGUGCCAGUAACCUGAUUUCAGGGCAGCUACAGAGUCUGCUCAGAGACCAGCCCAGUUAAACAGUUAAGGCUGAGAUCAGUUGGGCAAGACUGGAAAUGAAAUAUGUUUAGGCGAUGAAUACUCACAAAGUGCUUAGAGGUUUCUUGCUGGGGGCUGGUAUUCGUGGUGCGGGUGUGCUGGGUUUGAGAGGACCCAGAGUCCCAGUCUUUCUGGAUGAUGUUUACUCCAGCUGUCCAUCCCAAUAAAGGCAGGGGCAGUAGGCAACACAUUUUUCUUUUCUCUUCUCUUUUCUUCCUUUUUCUCUCUCCCUGGCCUACCAUGGCAGGCCAAUAUGGCAGGUGGAGGUAUGCGGGAGCUGGUCAGAGUUAAGAGUGAUGGACUCGUAAGAGACUGAGGUGUAACCAGUUAGAACCUGGGGAUUUGUUGCCACUCCCUACCUUCAUUUUCGGGGGCUGAAGUAGAUACUUAGUUAUAAUAAGUUUAUUGAAAAUAUAUCUAUGAGCAUAGUUUCUAGCACAUCAAAGGUAUUUAAUAAAUAUUUGGGAAAUGAAAUAAAGAUUGAAUAAUUGAACAAG
rnacentral:lncRNA from 10 species